rnacentral:rRNA from 1 species
CUGGCUCAGGACGAACGCUGGCGGCACGCUUAACACAUGCAAGUCGAACGGAGUUAUUUGAGCUUGCUUAAAUAACUUAGUGGCGGACGGGUGAGUAACACGUGAGCAAUCUGCCUUUCAGAGGGGGAUAGCAGUUGGAAACGACUGAUAAUACCGCAUAAUAUAACGAAGCCGCAUGACUUUGUUAUCAAAGAUUUAUCGCUGAAAGAUGAGCUCGCGUCUGAUUAGGUAGUUGGUGAGGUAACGGCUCACCAAGCCGACGAUCAGUAGCCGGACUGAGAGGUUGAACGGCCACAUUGGGACUGAGA